CCUACGGGAGGCAGCAGUCGAGAAUCAUUCACAAUGGGGGAAACCCUGAUGGUGCGACGCCGCGUGGGGGAAUGAAGGUCUUCGGAUUGUAAACCCCUGUCAUGUGGGAGCAAAUUAAAAAGAUAGUACCACAAGAGGAAGAGACGGCUAACUCUGUGCCAGCAGCCGCGGUAAUACAGAGGUCUCAAGCGUUGUUCGGAACCACUGGGCGUAAAGCGUGCGUAGGCUGUUUCGUAAGUCGUGUGUGAAAGGUGCGGGCUCAACCCGCGGACGGCACAUGAUACUGCGAGACUAGAGUAAUGGAGGGGGAACCGGAAUUCUCGGUGUAGCAGUGAAAUGCGUAGAUAUCGAGAGGAACACUCGUGGCGAAGGCGGGUUCCUGGACAUUAACUGACGCUGAGGCACGAAGGCCAGGGGAGCGAAAGGGAUUAGAUACCCUUGUAGUC
rnacentral:rRNA from 1 species